rnacentral:rRNA from 1 species
AUUGAACGCUGGCGGCAGGCCUAACACAUGCAAGUCGAACGAGUGGCGGACGGGUGAGUAAUGUCUGGGAAACUGCCUGAUGGAGGGGGAUAACUACUGGAAACGGUAGCUAAUACCGCAUACCAUCGGAUGUGCCCAUAUGGGAGUAGCUAGUAGGUGGGGUAAAGGCUCACCUAGGCGCCUAUCCCUCGCUGGUCUGAGAGGCUUACCAGCCACACUGGAACUUGGACACGGUCCAGACUCCUACGGGAGGAAGCAGUGGGGAAUAUUGCACAAUGGGCGCAAGCCUGAUGCAGCCAUGCCGCGUGUGUGAAGAAGGCCUUCGGGUUGUAAAGCACUUUCAGCGAGGAGGCGGUACUCGCAGAAGAAGCACCGGCUAACUCCGGGCCAGCAGCCGCGGUAAUUC